GUGCAACGGGAUGUGCUGCCAUGUAGUAGCAGGUGACAUACCUCUUCAAUCAGUCAUGGACUAAUCGGCAAAGCCUCCAGUUUAGGUUCAUUCUGGAAAAAAUCCCGAAGUCUUGAUGAUUAUUUUCAUCCGAACGUUUCAAUAUUGCUUCCUGCUGCGCUCACCCUGGCUUCCCUUCACUAUUGCUGAAUUUCCAGGUAGCAGCUGAAGCUAUACCAAAAAAAACCAACCAACCCAAAGCCCAAUAAAUGCCUGGUAAUCCAGGCUGGGCACAGCCAGAUCCUCUUUGCUAGGCACUACGCAAUGCAUUCACCCUUAAAAAUUAACUGAGAGGAUGUUGUGAAGACCUGGCUCACACAUAAAGAAAAGAGGCACAGUUUGAUACAUGCCUUCUCCAAUGAGCACUGCUAAUAGAUUUCCAUGGUCCUUGUUGGAGUUCUGGAGAAGAUCUAUCUGAGGACUUUGGAGUCUCUUGGACAAAGAAAACCCAAACCAAUCAUCAAACAAACCAACCAAAACCAUUAAGCAGAAUAAGUGUAUUAAACCUCAGUGGGCUCAUACAAUGCUAUCCAAGGGAGAGAUUUCCCAGGUGAGACAGGCUCUGGGAGAAGACCUGUGAUCAGGUUGCUGGCCACUGGA